GCAGCCAUCUCAAUACUCUAAGAGUAGUUUUACGUUAAAGCCAUCAAUGCAGAAAAGAGAACAAAAGAAUGAAAAAUUGAGUCCUUCAUGCUAUGGAUAAGCCAAUGUAUACUAUUGAAAUGUGAAGCUCACCUAAAUUAUAGAUCUUAUUGUUAGGUGAGCAAAUGUUAUAGUUUGCGUGUGAGGUGUCCUCCAAAAAGCACAUGUGUGAGACAAUGCAAGAUGGUUUAGAGGAGAGAUUAUCUGGUUAUGAGAACCUUAACCCAAUCAGUGAAUUAAUACCAUGAUGGGAUUAACUGAGUGGUGGCUGAACGUGGGUAGGGUGUGGCUUCAGGAGGUGGGUCAGUGGGGGCAUGGCUUUGAAGGUUAUAUAUUUGGUGUCUGGCAAGUGGAGUCUCUCUCUCUUUCUGUGUCUGCUUUCUGAUCAUUAUGUAAACUGUUUCCCUCCACCAUACUCUUCUGCCAUUAUGUUCAGUCUCACCUCAAGUCUGAGGAAUGGAGCUAGCUGCCUAUGGACAGAGACCUCUGAAACUAUGAGCCCUCAAAUAAACUUUUUCUUCUCUACAAUUGUUCUGGUCAGAUCUUUUAGCCACAGCAGCAAAAAGGCGUACUAAAACAGAAAUUGGUACCAUGAGUGGGGUUGUUACUGUGACCCACCUGACCAUAUGGUUCAUCAGCAUUUGGAGCUUUCUGGAAUUGGCUGGAGAAAUUUUGAGAUGUUUUGGCAGUGCAAGUUGGAAAUGCUUUAUAUUGUUGUCAGUAGAGCUUAUGGCCGAUUCUGGUGCGAGUUCAGAAGACCAGAAUGACAAUAGGACCAUGGACAGUGAAGGCAGGGCUCAAGAGGAUUUAGAGGAAAAGAAGGACACUAUUGAUAAUUGGAUUAGAGACCAUUUGUAUUACGUUCUGGCUGAGAAGUUGUCUGCAUUUUACCCAUGUCUUGAGACUUUCUUUGAGGCUGAUUUUAAAAGUGAUGGACUUCUUGGCCAGGUGCGGUGGUGCACACCUGUAAUCCCAGUGGUUGGGGAGAUGGAAUCAGAAGGAUCUAAAGUUCAAAGCCAGCCUCAGCAAAAAGCAAGGCACUAAGCAUCUCAGUGAGACCUUGUCUUUAAAUAAAAUACAAAAAAAAUAGUGAUGGGAAUGUGGCUUAGUGGCUGAGUGCCCUUCAGUUCAAUCCCCAGUAUCCCACCCCCCGCAAAAAAGUGAUGAACUUCUUGAUCUGGCAGAGGAUAUUUCUAGACAGCAUAGCAUUCAGGUGGUGACAUGGAUAAUGCUGGCAGCUUUUAGCCAAUUUUUUUUUUUUUUUGAGAAUGAGGAGCAGAAUGCAGAGCAAAAAGAUUUGAAAAACUUGAAAUUGAAAGGUGGGAGUAAAACUGGGGCUAAGGAAGUUACUGUUGCUAAAGACUUUACUGCCACUGAAGAAAUGCUAAAGACUUUGUCCAGAGACAAUAAGAAAGGGCUUGAGGGCAUCUCAGUAACUGGCAAGAUCAUAUUCACCUCAGACUCAAGGAAGUAAAAAUAAAAAUCCUCUUGAGAAGAGAGCCAUGGGGUACCUUUCUUACAUAAAGGGGCUGAGGAAGUUUUUUCAACAUGCUCAGCCACCCAGGCACUCAGAGGCUACUGCAGCCAGGGUCCCUGGAAGCUUGGCUACUGCUUGAGAUGGUGGCAGACCUUGGUGCCAACCAUGUGAUACUGGUUCUUCAGGAAUGCAAGAUGCUAGAGUUAGGAGGUCAUGGAGGCUUCCACCAGGAUUUCAAAGGAAGGCGUGGGAGGCCAGGCAAAGUGCCCCAGGCUCAGUGUCUCUGUUGGAUGCCCCUGAGAGGGCAAUGUGUGGAAAUGUGAAGAGGAAGUCAAAGCUGCAGUGGAGUCCGCCAAGAUUAAGAAAUGCCAAUAGUGUGGAACGUCCACCAAAGAAAGCUACAGGACCCAAAGAGAGUCAACAGAAAGGCCAAUGCCAUAUGGCCUGGAUGCUGGAUGAGGAGCUACAGGAAUUAUUUGCCCAUCUGGAUUUUGGUCUUGCUUUGGUCCUAUUCCUUCUUUCCCUGCCUUAUUUUUGUAAAUGGAAAUGUUUACUCUGUACCUUUACCAACUGUAUACUUGUAAACUGCUUUUUAAUUUUACAGGAACACUCACGAUGCAAACUUACCCUGAGUAUCAGAGGAGACUUUGGACUUUAACUUUAGGCAAUCUUGGAAUUGUUGAGACUGGGGACUCUUGGAAAUGGACUAAAUGCAUUUUGCAUUGUGAGAUAGAUGGUCAUGACCUUUUGGGGGCCAGGGGUGGAAUGUUAUGGUUUAGAUGUGAGGGGUCCCCCAAAAGCUUAUGUGUGAG
rnacentral:lncRNA from 1 species